rnacentral:tRNA from 1 species
GCCCGGGUGAUGGAACUGGUAGACAUUGGGGACUUAAAAUCCCCUGGCUUUUAGCCGUGCGGGUUCGAGUCCCGCCCCGGGUACCA